rnacentral:rRNA from 1 species
GACGAACGCUGGCGGCGUGCUUAACACAUGCAAGUCGAACGGAAAGGCCCCUUUGGGGGUACUCGAGUGGCGAACGGGUGAGUAACACGUGAGUAACCUGCCCUUGACUUCGGGAUAACUUCAGGAAACUGGGGCUAAUACCGGAUAGGAAUCCUUGCUGCAUGGUGGGGGUUGGAAAGCUUCGGCGGUUUUGGAUGGACUCGCGGCUUAUCAGCUUGUUGGUGGGGUAGUGGCUUACCAAGGCUUUGACGGGUAGCCGGCCUGAGAGGGCGACCGGCCACAUUGGGACUGAGAUACGGCCCAGACUCCGACGGGAGGCAGCAGGGGGGAAUAUUGCACAAUGGGCGGAAGCCUGAUGCAGCAACGCCGCGGGCGGGAAGACGGCCUUCGGGUUGUAAACCGCUUUCAGCAGGGGCGAAGCUUGUGGUGACGGUACCUGCAGAAGAAGCACCGGCUAACUACGUG